rnacentral:ncRNA from 1 species
GUCAGAAACCCCACGCAUAAAUGCGGGGGCUUGAAAAAGCUCUAAUCUGACCAGUCGAUUUUAGCUAACAGCACGGAGGCGGAGCCUCGCAAGAAAGGCAUUCCCAGGCAAAGCCACAGGAUCGAGGUAAGACAAAGGACAAAAGAGUCUGAUACAGA